CCCUAAAAUAAUAUGUGAGCCCACUACAUCAACAAAAACCCCUAUUUCUCUCAUCUCCUUCUUUCACAUAGCUAGCUCUAACUAGAGAACCCACUGAGAAAUCCCACAUAACUCUGGCCAGCGUGAUGGUUUAUUUUGCAGGUUUCCCCUUCUGGAUAUUCAAUAGUUAAUGGAUAAUGGAGAUAAAAGUUGGAUGGGUCUCUGAAGAUCAACGAAGGAGUACAUCCGCGGAGUGAACGAUUUUCUUGACAAGGCAUUUGAACGGACUGCCCAAGGAAAUGAAAUAUUAUGCCCUUGCAAAAAAUGCAUUAACUAUUAUUGGCAUUAUAGAAAUGUAGUGGAGGAUCGCUUGGUUGCUUAUGGGUUUGUUACUGGAUACACCAAAGGGGUUUUUCAUGGGGAAAGGGUUUCCUCAAAAAAUACUCUACGGUCAAGCAACGAUGAGGAUGAUUCUAACAUGCAUGACGAUAUUGAUGGACUACUUCAUGAUACUUUUUGAAAUGCAGAGGGUGACUUGAGAUGUGAAGAAGAAGUGAGAGAGGGACCAUCUGAAGAUGCAAAUUUUUUUUUAAAAUUAUUGGAGGAAGGGAAGGAAGAGUUAUACCCGGGGUGUGAGAAUUUUUCUAAAUUAAGUUUCUCCAUUCGAUUGUACUUGUUUAAAUGCAUUCAUGGAUUGAGUAAUGUGGCCUUUUUAGACUUGUUAAUAGAGGCAUCUCCAUUUGCUCAGUUACCUGGCUCUUUCAACAAGGCUAAAAACAUGAUACAAGAUUUGGGUCUUCGUUAUGAAAAAAUACAUGCAUGCCCAAAUGAUUGCAUGCUAUUUUGGAAUGACAAUGUGAAAAUAGAUAAUUGCACUGUUUGUGGGUCUUCCAGAUGGAAGAAUGUUGGUAAUGGUUUGAAUAAUGCAAGCUCCAAACUCCCAGCAAAGGUUUUAAGGUACUUUCCUUUAAAGCCUAGGCUUCAAAGAAUAUUUAUGUGUCCAGAAACAGCUGUAGCUAUGAAAUGGCAUGCUACUGAAUGACCGAAUGAUGGAAAUUUAAGACAUCCUGUUGAUGGAGAAGCAUGGGUAAUUUCAAGCACAAAACAGGAGCAGUGUGUUACCAUUCUUGGUCAAUUAGCAUCUCAUCAGUCACCCCAAAUUUCUGCAACUCCUUGGGCUUCUACGUAAAUCAUCUUGACUAUAUAAGUUGACAUUACUGUUUUGCAGAAAAUGUCUGAGAUUAAUAUUAAGAACCGAUUAAAGUUGAAGAAUCCACAUACUGCUGGAAAAACAAGCUUCGCUAUCAUUCGCAAUGAAUUGGUCGAAAUGGAAGAAAUUGAAAUGCAACAAACCGAUGAUGGCAAUGAAUCUGUUAAUGCAUUUGCAUCUGUAAUGUGACCUGAACAUCCAGGACGCUUGAGGUUAUAUGGACAAGGGGUUACACAAACUUCUUUGAAAGAGAAAAUGGUAUAUUUUGAACACUCUCAAACUUCUACAAAUGAUUUCCAAAAGAUGGAAGAGUGGAUGCAAAAAAUUGAGGAAAAAUUUGAAUAACAAAAGAUAACUAUACGUCAAGAAGUUGUCGAAGAUGUCAUCGGAAAACUUCAACGUUCAGGAUUAACACUUGAUCCUAACAUUAUAGCAACAUUGUGCGAUCACUCUGCACCACAAGCAGCUAUUCAACCAAUUCAUCGGCCGUCUAUUGGUAGCAACAGUCAAGGUAUUACUUAAAACGUCGACACACAUACACGGUGGAACAAAUGAACAAGAAGUAUAGCAGUGAAGACCUUACUUGAGGGCGUUGGUUCUGUUAGAGCUUCAUAUGUUCUAGGAUCUUCUAAUUUAGAAUUUUUUGCAAACUUAUCUGUGCUAACUUUGAAUUGUUAAACAGUACGUUAUAUAGCUAUUUUGCUUUUAUGUAGAUGAUGUUAGUUGAAUAUAUUGGAUAACUAUGUUGAUUACU